rnacentral:rRNA from 1 species
UACGGGGGGGGCAAGUGUUGUUCGGAAUUACUGGGCGUAAAGGGCUCGUAGGCGGCCAACUAAGUCGGAUGUGAAAUCCCCAGGCUUAACCUGGGAACUGCAUCCGAUACUGGAUGGCUUGAAUCCGGGAGAGGGAUGCAGAAUUCCAGGUGUAGCGGUGAAAUGCGUAGAUAUCUGGAGGAACACCGGUGGCGAAGGCGGCAUCCUGGACCGACACUGACGCUGAGGAGCGAAAGCCAGGGGAGCAAACGGG